AGUAAUGUAAAAGGUAUGCUGAGUGUAAAUUGUAAUGGAGACACACAUUGACUUUGAGAGACUAUUAGAAGAAUUAGGAUCAGAAGCAACCAAUCUUCCUGAUAUAUCACAAGGUAUACAGUCACGUGACACUACUCACUGAUCACGUGAUCACAGGUUGGUCUGAUGGUUUAAGAUGAGCCAUAGAAUGAGUCUGUCUCAGUCUCCAGAGACGUUUGGUACAUGGCUACUGAUUAAUAAACUAAAAGAAACAAAUGAUGAUAAGGUGAUUGAUGGGGUAAUUAGUGUGGGCAUGGUAUUACGAGAUUUGAUGUAUAUUAAUCAUCAAAAUUUAA
rnacentral:lncRNA from 1 species